UUUUUAAAGGCCGCAGUAUCCUGACUGUGCAAAGGUAGCAUAAUAAUUAGUUUUUUAAUUGAAAGCUUGAAUGAAUGGUUGGACGAAGAAUAAGCUUUCUUUAAUAUUAAUUUAAAAUUUUACUUUUAAGUGAAAAGGCUUAAAUGUUUUUAAAAGACGAUAAGACCCUAUAAAACUUUAUAAACAAAAUAUUUUUUCUAUUUAUUAUGUUUAAAACUUUAAAAUAUUUAAUUUUAUUAUGUGGGGGUGACAAGAAUAAAUAAAUUACAAUAAACUGUUCUUUUUUAAAUACAAAAAUAUUUGAAAUAGUAAGAUCCUUUAUAUAAGAUUAAAAGAUCAAGUUACUUUAGGGAUAACAGCGUAAUUUUUUUAGAGAGUUCUUAUCGAAAAAAAAGGUUACGACCUCGAUGUUGAAUUAAAAUUUCUUUAUUGGUGUAGAAGCUAUAAAAGUAAGUCUGUUCGACUUUUAAAAUUUU
rnacentral:rRNA from 1 species